UACGGGGGGGGCAAGCGUUGUUCGGAAUUACUGGGCGUAAAGGGCGUGUAGGCGGCCAACUAAGUCCGACGUGAAAUCCCCAGGCUUAACCUGGGAACUGCGUCGGAUACUGGAUGGCUUGAAUCCGGGAGAGGGAUGCGGAAUUCCAGGUGUAGCGGUGAAAUGCGUAGAUAUCUGGAGGAACACCGGUGGCGAAGGCGGCAUCCUGGACCGGCAUUGACGCUAAAGCGCGAAAGCCAGGGGAGCAAACGGGG
rnacentral:rRNA from 1 species